AUUUUACUCUUUCUGAAACCAACAGAUGGAGUAGAUGGAGUAGUUACCUGAACAAAGAGCAAAAAAUGUGAAAAGUCAAAAAUGUUAUAAUGAAUUACGUGAAUUGAAUGGUUACUUAUUAUGGUUCCUCUUUUUGUCCUUGGGCUUGGUCACAUAUGGUAAAGGUAUCUAAUAAUGACAACUGUGUUUCCAAUUCCAACAGCAGUUGAACACAAUUGAAUCCAAUUGAAAGAGCUAUCUCAAUAAUCUGGUCGCGCUUUUUUGUUUUACCUUAGCCUUAUAGUGUUACAGCUUUUCACUUGUUCAGACUCGUUUUUAUCUUUUUUUCAAUUGAGAUUCUUGAUGAUUUGUCUGAGAAAUAUUCAUUCACAUUUGAUUAAAGCAUCUCUUUAACACAUCUUAAAUGUUAAUUAUAUAGGUUCAAUGAUAAGGUGGAUCUAUACCAAUCAAAAGGAAAUGAUUAAACAUAAACAGUCUAGAAUAUAGACCAAAUUUGAAGCUUACAAUGAGUUUGCAGUUGAUUAACAAAAAAUUACACCAAAAUUCAAAGAUAAAUUGAGGGAAACAAUGACAAUCAAGCUGGCUGUCUUUGCUAAAGCAUCCAAGAAAAUCAUAUUGACAGUAUGAUGAGGUGAUCACGCGUAGCAAUUGAACGCAAUUUACUCAACAUCAACAUCUUCAACAUGAACUGUAGCUAAAAGUCAUGACUUUUUUUUGUGUAAUAUUUGGUUACUAUUUUAAAGCCCGAGACCCAAAAGCUGGUAAACAUAUGUGUAGACUUGCAAGGUUAAAGCUUAGCAACAAAAGCAGUUUUUGAACCAGCCGAUGAGAAGAGUGUACAAAAAAAAGAAAGCAACACAACGAGGACUCAGCAUUUUCACCUUGAAAAGGCAGCAAAAAAAAGCCACAACCAAAAUGGCUUCACCAGCACCUUCACCAAUCUACCCUUACAUCAAGCCUAAUCAAAGUGAUAUCAAUUUACACAAUUUAUAUUGAUUCUAGGGUCAACAGUUAACAAAGACAAAGAUGGCAGAUAGUAGUGAUGAAUCAAGAUGGCAAAUACAAAUUUACGUCUAAUACUGGACUGGUUUUUGGUCAUUGUUAUACUUAUUUAUAAAGGUCAAUGUGCGAAGUUGAAACGUUUGUUUUUCAUGUUGAAAAUCUUGCACCAGAAAAAAAAGCUUGCUAAUAAUGAUGAUGGCCAUGUUGAUGGUAAUGAUGGUGAUGGAGGAGGAAGAGGGUGGGAAGAUUGAAUAAGUAAAAGUAACAUUCAUCCGUAACGUAAUUUAAAACGGCUGGAAAGGAAAGCAACAUCAAGAAGUCAACAUUGUCAUCAUUUACUAUCAACUUUAAUGUUAAAUGGUUCCUCAGAGUGUUUCUGAUUGUUACCAGAUUGUCUUGAUUCAAACUCAUUUCAAUCUUACCAUUUAAUUAAAACACUUAUUUAGACACAAUUUAAGUGUAUUUACAUUUUAUUACUAUCAUUGUCAGAUGAUUAUACAACUUGCCUGUUGAAGUCAACUUUUUUUUGAUAGCCUCUCAUUAUUCAUAGAUUUAUGGUUUUAAUUUAACUUUCCUUUUCUCUAUUACAUUCACUUUCAUAUAAAAUUUGUUUCUUUGUUUACGCUUGCGGUUGUUGUUUUGCUUGUUUGUUGCCGAUGUGAUUGAACCAAACUUCCGGCUAGUUGGAUAAAUUAAAGGUAAACGUUUAAUGUGUAAAAGUAAUUUACCUUACAAAGACUAAACUUGUUGGUAAAUAUACAAUAAUAAUGAUUAUUUAUUAUUGAAAGAGUAACAUUUUAAGGUAAAGCCAAAAACAGCCUUUUGUUGCCUUUAGUAAAGGUAAAAAUUUUGUUCUCAUCUUCCAAUCAUGUGAAAUUUGAAAGGUAAAAGCUCAAGACGUUUCCAGCUUUACCAAGUUUGCCAUUCUUUGGUUAAUAAAGAAGACUAAAGUUGUACUAUUAUUAUAAUACUUUAAGCAAAGGGCACAAAAAAAGACCAAAAAUGAACACCUUUGCUCUUCUUUUUCCUGGUAUCAAAAUUGGGUUCUUCAGGUGUUGCCAAGCAUCAACCAGUUUUACCAAUACAACUUUCGUCCCUACAGAGAUGUUGAAUCUUUACGAUCACUCGUAAUGGCAACUAAUUUUACAAAUAUUAUUAUAUUGAGAUGAAAAUAUUGAAAAUAUAUUUGAGUGAAAAUUUGCCAAAUUUCCAAAGAAAUGCUUUUAAAUUCCAAUUACAAUGACUCUUUAUUUUUUCAACAGGUUUCAGGUUCCCAUAGGUUCCCAUUUGACCUGACCUGGAAUCACUUUUGCAGGUUCAACUCUGGUUUUCAGGUUAACAAUGGUAACAAUGAUAGUUGUAAAAUUUACCUUUACCCAAUCAAUCAACCUUGGCAAUAUUGAAAUACUAAGUGAGAAGGCUUAAAACACUGUUAUUAUUAUUGGAUUAAUUUACACUGAAAAUUUACUUGAUUACACUCAUCAAUUAUAAACCUUUUUAGCCCAUUAUUUA